UCUAAGUCAUUAAAUCAAAAAUGACUCUUAAUUAUUCGAAAAGAGUUGUGUCAAAAUGUACUUGUUUUUUUAUGAAAUUCAAAGAACUGAGUCCGAACUGCAGGAUGGCGGUGAAAUUCUAUCCAAUCCCUACUAAUUUAUGUAGUUCUCCUUAAUAAGUCGUAUUACUCAUUUUUGAAUGCUUGUACUUGGAAGUUCUACCUUAUUUAAAUAUUUUUUAUAAACAUUAGCGACAAUAGCGACAUUUUCUCUAAGUAAGGAUCCUUAAGAAUUUAAAAACGUACUACGCCCAUCAAAGA
rnacentral:misc_RNA from 1 species